AGCCCAAACCAACUGCUUAUCUUUUUCUUUUUCUAUUAUCGGGUCGCCUCUCCUAGCUCCGGCCGCCGGCCGGCGAACGUGGCCGCUCCCAGACGUCUGCUGCUACUAAGGCAGCCGACCGACACGUUUCAGUUCCGACUGAACCGACCGAGCCUUAACUCUUACUAUUAGGUUGCUCCAGUCAGUCCUAAACCAGAACCACCCAACUUCCGCCGCCGGCGACAAGCUGCAGUGGAGCACCUCAUCCGCCGCCGGCGACCAGCUGCAGUCCCAUCUCCAUCCAUCAAUCAGAUCCCCCGGUGCACCUCCCUGGCCGUCAAGGAUGCCGCGCGCUAGUGGGAGGUCCAGCACGCCUGCCUGCUCACUGCUCACUGGCUCAUCGCAGCGCAGCCGGGGCCCUCAACCACCAGGUCUCCGGCGCGUAUCAAUCCUCAGAGGACGCUGGCUCAUCUGCGUCUCCUCGCUGCUAUGACAGGGACGUCGACGACCUCCUCUCCUCCCCGCCCCUCCAGCUCCAAUGGCAGCAUGCCCGCCAUCUGCUCGAUGAAAUGUCUGUGCCCAACCACCACCAGCAUCUGUGCCCAAUCUACUCGAGGGCAGGCAAUGGAGGCGAGCCCAAGCAAAGCAUGAUGCUCACACAACCGUCGAAAUUCUAAGUUCGUAUGUGUGUUUUGCAUAUCACAAAGAUAUCAGCAUGCAUGAUGCCAACCUUCCUGAGAUGCUUUCCUCAUGUUGAGUCGCUGCAUAUCACGCCUGCAGAAUGUGAUCAGGCUCAGCCUCAAGUUCCCCGAAGAUCAGGCUGUUCCCAAAGUAAAUGUAUCGUUGCGCAUCUGGGCGAUGCCGUUCGGUGAGUUCCACGGAGGGGGAGCAAUACGAGCUUUCCUUCCUUCGCUACUUCUUCAGGAGUGCAUGUGUUUUAAAUUAUGCACCCGUUUUUAUGGCCAAUCCAAGGUUCGCUUCAACGUCCGUGGAUGAGAUGCUAUACAGCGUGAAGAAUACGAGUAAAUGGAAAUGCCCUAGUGAAUUUAAGGUGGUUGUCUACGAGAGUACUGGUCCUGACUCCUGAGGGAGGCGAUGAACUCUACUCCAACAAAAAAUAUCAGGAAGCAGCAGCGGAUAUACCGAAGCUCUGAGAAAGAAUCUGAAUGAACCCGCAAGCUGUGCCUGUAGGUCUGGAUGAUGCGGGAAAAUGUAUUGAGCUGGAUCCUACUUAUCUGAUGGGUUAUGCAUGGAAGAAGUUGCAGUAGUCAGGAAAGAAAUUUCUGAUGAGUCGCUUGAGACGGAUUGAAUCUGAAAAAAACAGUCAAGACACCAGAGGCAAACCAGGUGCAACGACAGAAAGAAAAUGAGGAACAUUGUAAUUGAUGGCUUUAAGAGAUGUGUGACAUGCAUCGAGAGGUCUAAAGGCGGUGACGUUGGGCCUGAGGAUUUAGUAGACAUUUUGGUACAUGGAAGAAGUUGCAGUAUUCAAGAAGGAAGUUUCUCAUGAUCGCUCGAGGUGGAUCUAAUCUAAACGAGUGGCCAGGAUAUCAGAGGCAGACAAGGUCCAACGGAAGGAAGAAACCAAGGAACAUCUUUCCAAAAUACAACAAGAGUUGCAACAAGUUAACGCACGACAAGAUGAAGUUGCUAAUGAGCUACAGAAAGCUAAUAAGCACAAUGAGCAUGUUCAACAUCAGCUCUCGGAGUCCAAAAGGGGUCAUAGUGAGGAACUUUAUAGAGCAAUGAGCAUAGUUUGAAUCUUGAACAUCAGUUCUCGAAAUCCAAAGAGCGGUAUAAUCAGCUUCAGUCCAAGCAUGACGACUUGCUAAGGAACGGGAUACUGCACUCAAAGAGGUAGAAAAGUUACGCCGGAGAAGAAGUAGGGUGAUGCCCUGCCAGUUUUUAUUAUCUGAACUGAAGUGAGCAACAGAAAAGUGCAUACUUCAUUGAAGUUCAGAGAAUGCAGCUUUGCCUCUGGUGUUCUCCGAAACAUGAAAGUUGUAAUAAAGGUCCUAAUCUCUAGUGAAAUCAUGAAUCAGUCUCAAGGGCAUGAACCUGGUUAAAUUUGUCA